AUUGAACGCUGGCGGCAGGCCUAACACAUGCAAGUCGAGCGGAUGAAGGGAGCUUGCUCCUGGAUUCAGCGGCGGACGGGUGAGUAAUGCCUAGGAAUCUGCCCGGUAGUGGGGGCUAACGUCCGGAAACGGGCGCUAAUACCGCAUACGUCCUGAGGGAGAAAGUGGGGGAUCUUCGGACCUCACGCUAUCAGAUGAGCCUAGGUCGGAUUAGCUAGUUGGUGGGGUAAAGGCCUACCAAGGCGACGAUCCGUAACUGGUCUGAGAGGAUGAUCAGUCACACUGGAACUGAGACACGGUCCAGACUCCUACGGGAGGCAGCAGUGGGGAAUAUUGGACAAUGGGCGAAAGCCUGAUCCAGCCAUGCCGCGUGUGUGAAGAAGGUCUUCGGAUUGUAAAGCACUUUAAGUUGGGAGGAAGGGAAGUAAGUUAAUACCUUGCUGUUUUGACGUUACCAACAGAAUAAGCACCGGCUAACUUCGUG
rnacentral:rRNA from 1 species